CCCUAAAUGGUUGUUUUGACAGUAUUCACAUUUCUUUAGUGUUUUUGAUCAACAUUUUAAUAUAAGUUGGGGGAUUUCUGGUAAAGCAUCAAAUUUAUUAGAAAAUACAACUAAUUAAGCCAUUAAUAAAUUAAAUAGAGUAUUUUUAAAAAUUAAAAGUUUCCUAAACUUAAAAACCUCCAGUCGCUUCUACCACGACCUGUGUGACUGAGAACCUACACAGACAUGUCUCCUGAGGUCAAUGCAACUCAUAAAACUGUUGUUGCAUUUGUAUGCAAGAGAUCAGCACAAUGUACCACAGGGACAGACAUUUCAAUAAUAAAAAAAGAAACCUUCCUUCAGUUAUAAAAACAGCAGUUAUUCUGACAGGAGGAGCCAGACUGUAGAUGAAGCCUCCUCCCUCCUCUUUAGGAACAGGCCAACAGGGAUUUUUAAGCUGUAAAACAGAAGCCACAAGACUGUUGGAUUACGUCUGAAGUCAGGAUCUUGAAGUUUCAGCAUGAUGAGUCGUGCGCAGAGCUUCAUAGACGGUGAAGCUCCUGACUCUCGGCAUGAAAAAUCAAACAGAGGGUCAAAGGUCACCACAGAGAGAGUGGCACUGGUGGUUCUCUGUAUCCUGCUGGCAGCUGCUCUCAUCGUUAUUUAUCGUCUCUCAUUUGACAAAAUUAGAACGAACAAACAGCUCGAAAACCUGGAACAUCACAAAAUGAAGUGUGAAAGUAAUC